rnacentral:rRNA from 1 species
GACGAACGCUGGCGGCGUGCCUAAUACAUGCAAGUCGAACGCAGGGGGGACGGGUGAGUAACACGUGGGUAACCUCCCAUUAGAGGGGACAACACUUGGAAACAGGUGCUAAACCGAUACUGAUGGAUGGACCCGCGGUGCAUUAGCUAGUUGGGGGGGUAACGGCUCACCAGGGGCACGAUGCAUCGCCCACGUGAGAGGGUGGUCGGCCACACGGGGGCGGAAACGCGGACCAGACUCCUACGGGAGGCAGCAGUAGGGAAUCUGCGGCAAUGGACGAAAGUCUGACCCAGCAGCGCCGCGUGAGAGAAGAAGAUUUUGGGAGCGUAAAGCUCGGUUGUUGGAGAAGCGGUAUCUAACCAGAAAGCCACGGCUAACUACGUGCCAGCAGCCGCGGUAAUAC